rnacentral:rRNA from 1 species
AUUGAACGCUGGCGGCAUGCUUUACACAUGCAAGUCGAACGGUAACAGGCCGCAAGGUGCUGACGAGUGGCGAACGGGUGAGUAAUGCAUCGGAACGUGCCCAGUCGUGGGGGAUAACGCAGCGAAAGCUGCGCUAAUACCGCAUACGAUCUCUGGAUGAAAGCGGGGGACCGAAAGGCCUCGCGCGAUUGGAGCGGCCGAUGUCAGAUUGGGUAGUUGGUGGGGUAAAGGCCCACCAAGCCAACGAUCUGUAGCUGGUCUGAGAGGACGACCAGCCACACUGGGACUGAGACACGGCCCAGACUCCUACGGGAGGCAGCAGUGGGGAAUUUUGGACAAUGGGCGCAAGCCUGAUCCAGCAAUGCCGCGUGCAGGAAGAAGGCCUUCGGGUUGUAAACUGCUUUUGUACGGAACGAAACGGUUCUGGUUAAUACCUGGGGCUAAUGACGGUACCGUAAGAAUAAGCACCGGCUAACUACGUGCCAGCAGCCGCCGUAAAAC